rfam:Triticum aestivum genome assembly, contig: Triticum_aestivum_CS42_TGACv1_scaffold_094161_2AL
AGAACUAAGUGUAGCCAAAGACAACUUGCCGGCUAACUCUAAAGCUCAACGAACUCCCAGCACCAGGAGCCGGCAAGUCAUCCUUGGCUGCAUCCCGUUCUCU